rfam:Helianthus annuus linkage group 15, whole genome shotgun sequence.
GUUUUAGGCUUAGUUUGCUAUGGAGUACAUGAAAACUCCAUAGUUAAGUAUGCUCAGGUAGGAGUAGUACUAGGUUGGGUGACCUUGUGGAAAGUCUCCAUCGAGGUAACC